GUGGGUGUGUUUACCAUGGAGAGGGCGCUUGAUAGGGGGCGGGGAAGAGAAGGGAACACAACAUCUGUAACAUAAGAAGCUAAAUCUUAUCUCCCGUGACCCAGAACCGCCAGCUCCUCCACCACCACCUCUUCCUGGUCUCCGCUUCAGCUACUUGCACACUACAUACACUCCAGUUGCUGAAGAAUCGUCAUCCAACUGACGUAGAUCAUGGCGCCCACAACGUUGAUCUGGAAGGUUGUUAUAUUGGCAGCUGCUGGUACAGGUAGUAUACACACAUUACCAGCUGCUAGUACAGGUAGUAUACACACAUCACCAGCUGCUAGUACAGGUAAUAUACACACAUCACCAGCUGCUAGUACAGGUAGUAUACAUACAUCAUCAACUGCUAGUACAGGUAGUAUACAUACAUCAUCAACUGCUAGUACAGGUAGUAUACAUACAUCAGCAGCUGCUAGUACAGGUAAUAUACAUACAUCACCAACUGCUAGUACAGGUAAUAUA